GGCUGGUCCAAUGGUAGUGGGUUGUCAGAACGUAUUAACAUUAGUGUCACCAAAGUUGGUAUUCAACCCCCCACUACUAAUUUGACUGGCUUUUU
rnacentral:Y_RNA from 1 species